CACGCUCCCAACUCGAGCGGUCUCUCCCUCGUCUCCCGCCAGCUGGUGUUGUGAGAAAGGAACAGGCUUUCUCUUGCGCUUCCAUCCCUGUCGAGGAACAAAAAACACAGACACAUGUGGACAUUAACAUUGUGUCAAAACAGGUAUAUGUGGGCAAACAAGUUACAGGACCAAAACAUAAAAAAGACUCCCCAAAAGAUGCAGCCGCUCCAGCAGCCUGGGCCCAGCUGGGUCAAAGGCUUCUUGGCUAAGCUUAGGGGAUACAUCUGCCCCUGGAAGUAUAGCCAGAACCACCAAACUACCGAGCCACCCAUCCACAGACUCCCAGCUUCCUCAGUGCUUAGAAUGCAGCCAUACUGCCAUUGUUACCCUGCAGCGGAUGGAAUGAAUGGAGGAAUAGAAGCGAAACGUUGGAAUUCCUCAGCUGAGCGGCUAAGGGGAAAAACUGAAGAGAAGCUAGAAUCCCC
ensembl:lncRNA